AUGCUUCUACUUUGCUCUCUCGAAUGACUGGCUAUGAUGGAAACAGCCACCAUGUUGUGAGGACACUCAAUUAGCCUUGUGGAGAGACCCACAUGGGUGAGAAACUAAGGUCUGCCACCAACAGCCCACAUCCAUUGCCAGCUCUGAGAGCAAAUAGAUCCUGCAGACCUAGUCAAGCCUCAUUUGACUGACACCUCAGUCAACAUCUUGACUGCAAGCCCAUGCAAAACACUGAGCCAGAAACCACCCACCCAAGAAGCUGUGAAUUCCUGACUGGCAAAAAAUAUCUAAAGUCCUGCUUUUAAAAACACAAAGAUUUCUUCUAUAUGGAACUUGAUUGCCUUCAUUCAGUCAUCGAGAGUCUUCAGGAGAUCUGAAGACCCAGAGCAAAUCAGAAAUGUUGACGGGGAAAAAUGUGCAGAAAUGUCUGAGAGUAAACCCCCUGUCCUUAAACAAAUUUUUCUUCUGAAAUUUUCUGCUUCAUUAUGGAGUCUCACUCUGUUGCCUAAGCUGGAGUACAGUGGCGCGAUUUCGGCUCACUGCAACCUCCACCUCCCAGAUUCAAGUCAUUUUCCUGCCUCAGCCUCCCCGUAGCUGGGACUACAG